rnacentral:lncRNA from 1 species
GUAAACUCUAACUUCUCUUUCAUCUCUAGAGUAAUUCAAAACAUCCACUAGAGGGUAAACAUCUUCACUAGUUUCCUGUCACCAGAUACUUAGGUGGCACAGAUGUCUGCAAGGCCAUUCUUGUGUCCUUGAGCCUCUCUGCCCCAGCACUGCCUGAAGCUCACCUGCAGCCCAUCUUCCAGGCCCUGAACAAUUAAAGGCCAUAGGCUCAGAGUUGGUUUUGAUCAGUUUCUACCCAUGCAGGUUCAGGCAAGCCUGAGGCAGCAGUCGCUGUGGCUGCUCAUCGAUCUCAUCGCCAGACCCUCAUCUGCUAUUGUCCCGAAGCCUGAGACUAGGCCUCCUACCUCGGAAGCUCCUCGGGCCCCUUCACACCGCCGCCUGCUUACUAAUCUCCAUGGACAGCUUGAUUUCUCAUUUGCUUAAGCAACUCGUUUAUUCUCUUUACACUUAGUUCCUAAACUCCCACCCUUGUAAAAGGCAAUUUUAUGUUUAAAAUGUCUUCUCUCUGUAUAUUAUAAUAAAUUAUAUUAAUAAAAUCGGAUUUUAAAAGA